UCUGGCAUGCCUUAGGCUGUCCGAGUCGUAGUCUGGAGAAGUGUNNNGNGGGCUGGACAGUGUACAAGUCCCUUGGAAUAGAGNGUCAUAGAGGGUGAGAAUCCAGUCUUNGCCAUGGACUUNCAGUACAGUGUGAUGCGCUCUCAAAGAGUCGAGUNGUUNGGGAUUGCAGCUCAAAAUGGGUGGUAAAUUCCAUCUAGAGCUAAAUAUAGGCGAGAGUCCGAUAGCGACCAAGUACCGUGAGGGAAAGAUGAAAAGCACUUGGGAAAGAGAGCUAAACAGUACGUGAAAUAGCUGAAAGGGAAACGCUUGAAGUCAGUCGUGUCUGCCAGGACUCAGCCUUGCUUUUGCUUGGUGCACUUUCUGGUUUGACAGGCCAGCAUCGAUUUUGACUGUUGGAAAAAGAAUAAGGGAAUGUGGCACCUUCGGGUCUGUUAUAGGCCGUUGUUGCAUGCACCAAUUGGAAUCGAGGAUCGCAGCACGNCUUUAUGGCCGGGGCUUACAU
rnacentral:rRNA from 1 species